rnacentral:rRNA from 1 species
GUGGACGCAUCACUGGUGUUCGGGUUGUCAUGCCAAUGGCACUGCCCGGUAGCUAAAUGCGGAAGAGAUAAGUGCUGAAAGCAUCUAAGCACGAAACUUGCCCCGAGAUGAGUUCUCCCUGAGACUUAGAGUCUCCUGAAGGAACGUUGAAGACGACGACGUUGAUAGGCCGGGUGUGUAAGCGCAGCGAUGCGUUGAGCUAACCGGUACUAAUGAACCGUGAGGCUU